UGCACUCAUUUUUCAUACAGAUUUUCUGGCUGGGUCACUCAAAAUUAUGCAAGAGAAAAUAUUUGAGGCAUUCAAAAAGCUUGCAUUUGUAAGAACAAAAACACAUGUUAACAGAAGUAAAACCUCAUGAAAGAAUCAAUUACUCACACAAAUGAACCAUACCAUAGGCUCAACUCUUGGGACAAACUCCACAGAUCAAAUUUUACUCAUCUUUAAGAUCAAAAGGAACUUUAAGAGGUGUUAAUGGGGCUGGGCUAGGGGUAUGAAUUUUAAGAACAAGUGUUGCAAAAUUCCUAAGGACCUAGCAGAGCAUCAAACACACCUUAUGUCACCAAAUCAAGGGCCAAAUACCAUCUUGUUGGGCCCUUCGUCAUUCUAACCACCUUACAACAGCAUGAAACAGAACAAAGGCCAAAUAAUUUCGUUUCUAGGCCUUCCACUUACAACAAAAACUCCCAUUUCACAACAUAAAGACAAUGUCCAGAUUUCUUCUUUUUCUGCCAAAAUUUUCUUAUUUUCUUUCUAUUCUUUUGUUUUCAUGGCAUUUCCUUUUUUGUUACACAAGGACAAGUCAUUUCCCCCACACUUGUUUCUGAUCAUCACUUCCAACAAUCUUCACACAAAAUGCUCUACUAGGCCCAAAGGACAAGGGUAAAGAAAUGCUAUACUAAGCUCAAGGUAAAAAUCAUGGGUGAUGAAAGAGAAAGCUCAAUGUAGGCUCAAAGGGGUUCAACUAAGGGGUGUGCAGCGCACACAAAUAAGGACACAGGCUUGUUUGGCAAUGGUGUUCAUCUAAAAAGUUCCAUUUAUCCUUUCAAAAAUCAGAGCGUUUUAUGACAAAAAGUUUCGAAAGUCCACAAGAGUGAGUUCUAGUCAUCUCUAGUUCAUUAAAAGCUAUGGUGAGCAAUCAAUCAAAUUGAAAGAAUAAUGAGGUUUUCAAACAAUUGUAGCCAAGAAAACGAAUCAGAAUAUUUCUAAAAGCACUCAGAAAGAAUGGCACAUAUAAAGGCUCAAAAGCUCACAUUAGGAUUCAUAUGAAUCAAAAUUUGACUUACCAUGCUCAUUUCUGUACCAAAGUUUCAAAACCACAUCCACUACAUUUCAUAGAUUUCCACUCAUUGCAAUUAACUUCAGAAUAUCAGUUGGAAAUCAUCUCAAUCUUGUGAUCUGUCCUUUAUAUAUUUAGAGAAUUAUGCUCAUCAUAGAU
rnacentral:lncRNA from 1 species